rnacentral:rRNA from 1 species
UGGGGAAUAUUGCACAAUGGGCGCAAGCCUGAUGCAGCCAUGCCGCGUGUGUGAAGAAGGCCUUCGGGUUGUAAAGCACUUUCAGCGGGGAGGAAGGCGUUAAGGUUAAUAACCUUGGCGAUUGACGUUACCCGCAGAAGAAGCACCGGCUAACUCCGUGCCAGCAGCCGCGGUAAUACGGAGGGUGCAAGCGUUAAUCGGAAUUACUGGGCGUAAAGCGCACGUAGGCGGUCUGUCAAGUCGGAUGUGAAAUCCCCGGGCUCAACCUGGGAACUGCAUUCGGAACUGGCAGGCUAGAGUCUUGUAGAGGGGGGUAGAAUUCCAGGAGUAGCGGUGAAAUGCGUAGAGAUCUGGAGGAAUACCGGUGGCGAAGGCGGCCCCCUGGACAAAGACUGACGCUCAGGUGCGAAAGCGUGGGGAGCAAACAGG